AGUCAAGUCUGCAGUGAUUAGAAAUUUUGGAUGCUUUGGGGCAUUUUCAGAUGAUCUAAUGUGCCUAUUCAGUUUAUGAAAAAGAAUAAUGUGCCUAUUUAGACCAGUUAUAACAGGAAGGUGUAUUAAGUGUAAAUAUCAAGGAACCACAACUGUUUGGGCAUAGGUUCUAGAAAACACAAUUUUUAGGGAGAACGAAUCACUUAACUGCAACAAUUGGGGCGGAGACCUCGAGCUAGCUAUCCUGGUGCAGGGGUUGCAUCACUGCUUCAUCUCGUCCUUGACAGAACUACUCCACUUAGGCAACUAAAAACCCAUAAGGCACAUACUUGGUCUUUCUUCUACUUCAAGCACCUCUACUUUGAGCACGUUGCUCAGUCCAAGGCAAGUUCUUUGUCCAAUUUUCUGCUUACAAAUCCUGUCUAAUAUUUUGAACCAUUAUACUGUGUUAUGUGCAUGUGGGGGAGAGGACGUGAAUGGAUCUGAGGAGCAGCAAGUUUACAUGGGUGGAUGUCUGCAGUGGAGCUCUUAUUUGAGCCUGAUACACUAUACUCUGGUGGCUAGUACUCUGGUUUGAGUAAUGUUCAGGUGAAUAUCUUCGGAAAUAAGAAUGACUCAGGGAGGAUAAAGUGACAUGGAUGACAGAUUAGAAGAUGCAAUGGCAGCGGGCGUGAAGUAAGAAAAAGAGCAGAGAGUGUUAGAAGAAAUAAUGAGGUGAUAAGGUCUCUAAAUGUUCUUUAUCUCACGGAAGUUAUAAUGUGCUAUGUAGCCAAAAAUUUAACAAAUAUAUAUGUGCAUGUACUCUAGGUUGGCCAUUUGAAACAUGUUCAAGAACAUGUUAUUAGUCGGUAAUAAUUAUAGUUAAAUGUUUAUUAAUAAAUUUCAUUGCUUCAGUGUACUCUUUUUGAUGAACUCUGAUAGUGAUUAUUGCCUUUCCACCUACAGAUCAUUUUAGGACUUUAGAAUUUUGACAGAAGCAAUGUUGGGUCUGCUGUCAUAGAUGUACAUACAGUGUGGUACAUUUUUUUCAUGCUCUAUUACUGUUUAGCUCUUGCACAUAUGUGAAAUAAUGUUUAGUUCUGAUUUCGUUUGAUGGAUGACAAGUGAGACCUAAAUCAAACAAUCAUGGACAUGGGUUUCUUGAAACAUAUCUGAAUUUUAGUUCUGAGUUCUUCGCAUGUUACACACAUAGGGAAGUAGAAGAAAAUUUGGUUAUAUCAUGUGUUAGGGGAUGUUCUAUGUGCAACUAGCUAUUCCUAAAUUGGUCCAAGACUUCAUUUUCUUCAAGCAUGAAUAAGAAGAAACAAUUAAAAUGGUGAGUGGAGAGACUGAUGCUGUGUUGCAGCUGAUGCUACUCCUUUUCCUGUCCUCUGCUUUGGUGACCCUCCUCUACACGCUAUGCUGGUGGUGCUGCUGCCGAGCUGCCCCUCUUCUCCUCAACAUUAUAAACAAGGCCUUGAACACAUCUCCUGAAGGUUUGACAAGAUCUUGAAGGUGCUGGAGGUUUGGCAAGAUCUGCAAGGCGUCCAUACUUAAUUUUUCUGCUCAUUUUGGUGCUUAUUUUAGCACAUAAGCCGAUGUAUGCUCAUUUUGGAUGUGAAACACAUCUAGGAACAUGUCUUUUUUUCACUUUUGUGGCACAACAUCCUUAAUGUAUCAACAAACAUGUAUUUGGUCGCUUAUGAAUGAAAUGAAACUUAAGGUUU